AUGAGGGAGAAACAGGAGGACAAAGAGUCACCUUCUCUUUCGACAAGGAGCCCUUUACCACAGCCAGCUGUGACACUGACCCCGAACCCCAGCAGGGGACCUCAGAGACUGGAGGAUGUCUUUUGCUUAGCUAGAGGCAGUUCUAGAAGCAAAUCGUGCCUACCCGUCUCCACGUCUUCACAUUCUUCACACCGGAAUGGGAGUGUCAAGCAAUCUGAGAAAAAACAAGGUGGUUAAUUGAGAAGAGUGAGAGAGAAUAUCUAUUAACUGCUACUCCGUUUAAAGAAUGUCUUCCCUAUGUCUGGCUUUAUCAUCUCCUUUAAUCCUUUAUGUCUUCAGGUUUCUGGAAGCAAGUUCCAGAGUAAGAGUCUACCGUUAUGGACUGCCUUCCCAUCCCUUUGUUCCUGGCAGGGGAAACUGUAACUGUUGGCAUUUUGGUCCAGUGAACCCUCUUGCCCUUGACCCUCACUCAUCCUUGGCAGGGAGAAAGGAGGAGAGAGACGCCAGGUGAAAGGGGAAGAGAGAAUGGAUUAUGACUGUAAGACACCACACCCUGGACUUUUCUUCACGGGAGUUCACCAUGCACCAUGCACAGACCAGCAACAAGGCACGUGGAUGAUAACUUGUCACUUUACUCUUUCACUUUAUUGGCCCCGAUCCAUUUUGAUCCUGCCUUUCUUUGGGACCUUAGGCUUCCCUCUUUUUGGAGUGCAUUUGCCAAAACCAGCAGAGAGUAUAUUUUAAUCUUUUUUUUUUUUUAAUGUUUAUUUUUGAGAGAGAGAGAGAGCUAGAGAGAGAGAGAGAGAGAGAGAAAGCAAGCAGGGGAGGGGCAGAGAGAGAGGGAGACACAGAAUCUGAAGCAGGCUCCGGGCUCUGAGCUGUCAGCACAAAUUCCAACAUGGGGCUUGAACCCACAGGCUGUGAGAUCAUGACCUGAGGCGAAGUCAGAUGCUUAACUGACGGAGCCACCCAGGCACCCCAAGAACCAGUGGAGAGUGUAUUUUGAGACAGGGCUGGCUCGUCUGACAGCAGCCAGACCUGUAAUAUAUGAAUACAGUCAUCCCCAAACUGCGGCCUGACAAGCAGGAGGGACUCUUCCUCUGCAGUUUACUUCUAGAAAUCUGAAGAGGUAAAAGAUUAAAGGAG
rnacentral:lncRNA from 1 species